CUGUCAUAUUGAUAUUGAUUAAGGCCAUUGAUUUAUGAUGUCUAUACGGCUCUGGCUCUGCAGAGACAUCAUCGCCACCUGGUGUUUAAAAGAGACACGCGCAGGCCAACCUCCCAAGAUGCAACGCGGCAAGGCAUAUCUAUCCCAUAAACCAAUGCGCUUUGACAAUAUAAAAGCAAACUCGACCCGUUGAUCAGUCUCAUUCUCCAUCGAACUAGAGUCCAAACCAUACACUUUCCUGAUUAACUUAACUGCAGCCUCAGACUACAAUUGGCCAUGGAUCAUCCACAUACAGGUGAAACAUCAGUUGUCUCACUGGUGAUUUGGAGAAUGGUGCUGACCUUGAAUGGUAGUUGAGCACUUGCUACAUUGAGCCUGCACCACUGGUUCAGAGGAGCUGCUAUUAUGCCCACAUUUGGAAACUUUAUUUCUUGCUCUAUCCAUGUUAAUGGGCUUGGUGAAUGAUCGCCUGGAAUGGGGAGGGGCACAUGUCCACCCCGGGUUGCAUUGCCAGAACCACAGCCCAGCCAUGUAUGCUGUUCCUGUACCAUCUGUCCUUGAGGGCAUAGGAGACUGAGUGGACCCAGGAUGUCUUGUAAGAGGGUGCCACCCACAACCUUGUGUCCAGUUGUCCACCUUGCUGUUGCAUUGUGCAGUAUCCUGGAGGCUGCAGAAGACAACCAACUGAAGGUGUGGCUACUUUAGCUUGACGAUGGUUCUUUACCUUGCUACAGUAUCCGGGAGGCUGCAGAAGAUGGCCAACUGAAGCAGGUGUGACCUCCAUUCAAAUCGGUGGGUGAGGAAGAAGAAAGUGGUUUCACUUGGUGCAUCGAUUUCAAAUGUUCAUUCUAAUAUUUUCUAAAUAAACUUUUGAACUUG